rnacentral:sRNA from 1 species
ACAUCUGCUUCCUGUAGGCCCUCUGGGCAGAAGCAUGCGGUGGUGUCUCCUCCUGAUCUGGGCCCAGGGGCUGAGGCAGGCUCCCUUCGCCUCAGGAAUGAUGACAGGCACAAUAGAAACAACGGGGAACAUUUCUGCAGAGAAAGGUGGCUCUAUCAUCUUACAAUGUCACCUCUCCUCCACCACGGCACAAGUGACCCAGGUCAACUGGGAGCAGCAGGACCAGCUUCUGGCCAUUUGUAAUGCUGACUUGGGGUGGCACAUCUCCCCAUCCUUCAAGGAUCGAGUGGCCCCAGGCCCUGGCCUGGGCCUCACCCUCCAGUCACUGACCAUGAACGAUACAGGGGAGUACUUCUGCAUCUAUCACACCUACCCUGAUGGGACUUACACAGGGAGAAUCUUCCUGGAGGUCCUAGAAAGCUCAGGUAUUCCUGCUGGAGCAAGUUGGUGGAUAAACCUCUCCCUCUAGCUUAGAAAAUACAAUCCCGAAACUGCACAGCAGGGCUUCUCAAUUUGGGAUCAUAUUUGAAUCACCUGAGGAGAUUUUAAAUCAUACUGAUGCCGAGGCC